GGUUCUAUGGUGUAAUUUGUUAGCACUCGGGACUUUGAAUCCAGCGAUACGAGUUCAAAUCUCGGCGCAACCU
rnacentral:tRNA from 1 species